GCCCCUAUAGCUCAGUUGGUAGAGCAUUCGACUAGAUAGCGAAAGGCCCCCAGUUCAAGCCUGGGUGCAGGUA
rnacentral:tRNA from 1 species